rnacentral:rRNA from 1 species
UACGAAGGGGCUAGCGUUGCUCGGAAUCACUGGGCGUAAAGCGCACGUAGGCGGAUCGAUCAGUCAGGGUGAAAUCCCAGGGCUCAACCCUGGAACUGCCUUUGAUACUGUCGAUCUGGAGUAUGGAAGAGGUGAGUGGAAUUCCGAGUGUAGAGGUGAAAUUCGUAGAUAUUCGGAGGAACACCAGUGGCGAAGGCGGCUCACUGGUCCUUACUGACGCUGAGGUGCGAAGCGUGGGAGCAACAGG